rnacentral:misc_RNA from 1 species
UCGCGGCUUAUCACCGGCAGUCCCCUUAGAGUGCCCAACUGAAUGAUGGCAACUAAGGGCGAGGGUUGCGCUCGUUGCGGCACUUAAGCCAACACCUCACGGCACGGGCUGACGACAGCCAUGCAGCACCUGUGCUAGCCCCUUACGGACACGGGCUUUCACCCGCUUUAACUAGCAUGUCAAACCCAGGUAAGGUUCUUCGCGUUGCAUCGAAUUAAGCCACAUGCUCCGCCGCUUGUGCGGGCCCCCGUCAAUUCCUUUGAGUUUUAGCCUUGCGGCCGUAGUCCCCAGGCGGAGUACUUAUCGCGUUAGCUACGACACCGAAAGGCAGACCCCUCCGACAUCCAGUUCUCAUCGUUUAUGGCGUGGACUAC